UUUGUACAUGUAGAGAGCUAGCUACGUCACAUGCUUACAUAGAUGUUGCAGAUUACCGGUGUUGGUUUUGACUCUAACUCAGACUGUUGGAAUAGAGUUCACUCAAGUGAUGGUGCACUAGCAUGUCUAGACAUCGGGUUGUUCAGACACCGCCGUAAGCAUUAUUGCUUGGUAUUAACAGCUUGGCAUGGGUGUCACUCAAGGCAAUGGAUACCUGUUGCUGAAAAUGUGCAAAGAGACUUUUGAAGGGGCUAGUGGAAUUAUUGAAAGCAAACGUUGAAGCUGAGAAAACCAAUUGUUGGAAAUGUGCAAAUAGAUUGAAGUUUAUGAAAGAAAAAAAGGUUGAACUUGACGCUAUAUGAGAAGAUAUUGACAGCCAACGACAAAGCUUGGAAGCGAGGUUAUGAAGCAACUACCAACCGAAAAUCAAGACAAGUAGAAUGUUUAUUCUACUUGACACAUUGUGUUAACUAUAUUGUUAUUUGAGUCUGGACAAGUGUGUUUAAGUACACUAUUUGACUAUCAAUGAUUAUUGUUUCGGUGCGAUUGGGUGCAUAUUGAUUAAUAGCAAUUGAAUUUACGUUA